AGUGAACGCUGGCGGUAGGCCUAACACAUGCAAGUCGAACGGCAGCACAGUAAGAGCUUGCUCUUACGGGUGGCGAGUGGCGGACGGGUGAGGAAUACAUCGGAAUCUACUUUUUCGUGGGGGAUAACGUAGGGAAACUUACGCUAAUACCGCAUACGACCUACGGGUGAAAGCAGGGGAUCUUCGGACCUUGCGCGAUUGAAUGAGCCGAUGUCGGAUUAGCUAGUUGGCGGGGUAAAGGCCCACCAAGGCGACGAUCCGUAGCUGGUCUGAGAGGAUGAUCAGCCACACUGGAACUGGGACACGGUCCAGACUCCUACGGGAGGCAGCAGUGGGGAAUAUUGGACAAUGGGCGCAAGCCUGAUCCAGCCAUACCACGUGGGUGAAGAAGGCCUUCGGGUUGUAAAGCCCUUUUGUUGGGAAAGAAAAGCAGCAGGUUAAUACCCCGCUGUUCUGACGGUACCCAAAGAAUAAGCACCGGCUAACUUCGUG
rnacentral:rRNA from 1 species